CUGAAAAGUUGAGCACCCCAGACCAAAAAGAGACCCCUCCCGUCCAUUCUUCUAUCUUUCCCAAACAUUAAAGAACCGCAACCAUUCUUGAAAGAAAAAGAUGAACCAAAAUCUUUCAAACUUCAAUUUUAAUUCCAAUCCCAAAGAAUCAAAAAGAGAAAAUGGCUAAGUCUGAAAAAUGGAAGAGCCUAACUCCUAGAAAAAGGCAAAAAGAAAACGGGCAGUAGCAGCUAAAAGGAACCAAAAAUCCAAAAGAAAAACAGCCGCUCUAAAAAACGUAACCAGCAAGAUCUGAACCUCCAUUUUCAACAACAAAACAAUACCCCUUUUGUAGCAGAAAAUCGCUAAAAAUAGAGCUCAAAAUGUUGUCUUCCUCCACCAUAAAAAGCAGCCAUUAGAGGCCGAAAAUCUGUCUAAAAUUCACGUCUUCAUGGUAGGCAUUCGGUUGAGGUCGGGUUCGAGGUUUUCGGUGCAGGUUUUAAUUUUGUGGACCAUUUGGUGCGAGAAUUCAAGAAUUUCUUUGUUCAUAUAUUCAAGAAUUUCCCUUUUGUGCAAAGAUUCUUUUUCUCUUCAUGUUAUGAUUUAAGUUAAUUCCAUACUUUGAUUUGGUUCUGUUAAAGGUUUUCAAUGGUAUUGUCUGUUUACAUUUCCUAAUAUGUGUAUUUUCAAUAUUUGUUUAAGUCAAGAAAUUGCAUCAUUUUGGUUUUUUAAAUGAGGGGUCUGCUCAAUUAUCGAAGAUGAGGGUCAGAUUUGAGAGCUCCAGCUCCGUUUUCUUUGUUUGUAAGAGUUGGAUCCCACUUUAUUUUGGUUUUUGUUGCAUUUACAGCUGAAUGUUGGUUUAUCCAUCCAUAUUGUGGUAUUAUUGGGCUGAUGGUCGAUUGGAAACAGCCUCUCUGCCCGUUCGGGUAGGGGUAAGGCUCGUCUACAUAUUACUCUCCCCAGACCUCACCUAGUGGGACUAUAUUGGGUAGUUGUUAUUGUUGUUGUAUUGUGGUAUUAUUGGGAUUAUUGAUGUUGAGUAAUUAAAAUGGAUCUUAUCGGAUUUUCUGGUUGGUUGUUAAUAUAGAUUGGGCCUCACUUAGUGCUAGGUGUUUGAUUAAUAAUUUGGGUUUGAGCAUUAACUUAGGUUAAAGGGUCUUAUCGG
rnacentral:lncRNA from 1 species